rnacentral:rRNA from 1 species
AGUAACAGUCAGAAAUGGCUGCUAAUACCGCAUAAGCGCACAGAGCUGCAUGGCUCAGUGUGAAAAACUCCGGUGGUAUAAGAUGGACCCGCGUUGGAUUAGCUUGUUGGUGGGGUAACGGCCCACCAAGGCGACGAUCCAUAGCCGGCCUGAGAGGGUGAACGGCCACAUUGGGACUGAGACACGGCCCAGACUCCUACGGGAGGCAGCAUG